UUGCGGAGUGAAUAAGAAGGGAACCCAAAGACAGAGCGACUCAGAGUCGAAAAGACGCUCAUCCACCCCCGCAAUGCCCAGUAGUACCCCGAGCACCAACGGAAUCAUGCCUGAAGUAAAGAAGGCAGGAAGAAAAGGAUCGAGAGCAGAAGCAAAUCCUGCAGAAAAGGCACCACCAUAUGACCCCAACAUCACUGAGCCCGAUACUAGAGCUGAGCUGAUGAAAU